AGAACCACGGAAUCCAGGGGUGCCUAGCACCUUCACUCGGGUUAAUAAACUUCCUUAUUCAGAGUUUCUGGUUCGCAGACUUCAAAAGAAAGUAAAAUUUUCCUCAAUUUGGGAUUUUAAAAUAACCCGGUGACUUGGGACACCAGAAAAUAAACCAUCACAAGUGGAGACUCUGAACAAAAAUAAAUAAAAAGCCCAUUUCGAAUAAUGUAACUUAAAUUGGAAAAAUUCCCUUAUAUACGCUCAUUCAUGUUGUGUGUACAAAAAGAGGUAUGACAAAAGGUGAGUUAAAUUAGC
rnacentral:lncRNA from 1 species